UGCUUUGGCAGCAUUAUACUAAAACUGGAAUGGUACAGAGGAGAUUAGCAUGGCCCCAUGCACAAGGAUGACAUGUAAAUUUGUAAAGAGUUCCAUAUUUUU